rnacentral:lncRNA from 1 species
GGGACUGAGUCCUCCAGUGAAUCCUCUGAAAAUCCUCUGAACCUGGCUGCAGAUGAGGGAGAAGAGAGCCUAGAGAAUCUCAAGGGAAGAUUUGGGGCCAGAUCCAGAAGGGGCGUUCCUAACUCUUCCUAACACAUUCCAUGAGCUGGCCAGAACUCAGUCUCGCAGUCCACCUGGAUGCAAGAAUGGUGGGCUAGCAGUGUGUCCAGGAAGAAGACAACACGGGUCCUGCAAGUGAUUAACAGCUAAUCUUGUCAGCUAUUUUCAGAAUCUCUCCCCUUUCUCUUCUGACAUAAACUAUUUUCAUUGUAUCAAUUAGAGUUCUUGGUUGCAAGCAAAAGAAAUGGGCUCUGGUUGAUAAACAGAAAAGGAAUUUGUUGAAAGGGUAUAUAAGAAUUCACAGAUUGUAAAAGAAAAACAGGAGAACUAGGCUUGAAAAGGGCAUAAGAGACUUCCAGUUAAGGGUGGUGGAUUGAGCCAUAUGCCCUUUAGCCCCUUUUUUAUUUCUUCCAUCCUGCUGCCUGAAACUUGGCUAUAAUGGUUGCAUCUCCAGCAGCCAUUUUGUGAGCAUGAGGAAUCAUGGCAGACGAAAGCAAAUACUAAGGAUAGUGGAUUAAAACAUAGAAGGAACCUGGGUACUGAUGACCAUGAAGCCAUCAUACCAGUACUGGACCACCUUCCUCCAGAAGAACAGACAACAAAAAAUGGAUUAAGGCACAAGACCACCAGCCUGUGAUGGCUCAACCUGUGUUCUUCUGCUUGAUUGAUGGAGACCCGGAAUUCCUUAGGAAUUUGCAAUGGCUUUGCACUGAGUUGAAAUUAUGACUGCAAAACACUGGUUAAUAUUACAGAAAAACCCCAGACAAAGAAGUAAUCAAAGGCUACGGUCUUUGCAGGAAAAACAUAAGUUUUUGCCUGCAAUGAAAAGAUGAAUGGAUUAUAAACGCUGGCAACAGGCUCACUGAGUGAGAACUAUUCAGAACAAUCAUUAAUGGAGGUGCUGGCAUUAAGAAAAUGCUGAGCCCAGGAUGUUACUGAGUAGGACAAAGAUUUUACAUGAAGAGUCCUGGGAAUGGAAAGUAUUAUUCUUUUAAAUAUUUUUUUAUUUUUAAUUAUUAUGGAUACAGAAUAGUCAUGUAUAUUUAUGGGGUACAUGUGAUGUUUUGAUUCAGGUAUACAGUGUGUAAUAAUCCAAUCAGAAUAAUUGAGAUCCAUCACUUUAUGUGUUUGUCAUUUCUUUGUAUUAGGAACAUCCCAAUUUCACUGUUUUAGUUACUUUUGAAUAUACAAUACAUUAUUGCUAACUACAAUCUCCAGAUUGUGCCACUGAAUACAAUAUCUUAUUUAUUCCAGCUAAUUGUA